UCGGGAAUUUUGGGCAAUGGGCGCAAGCCUGAUCCAGCCAUGCCGCGUGCGGGAAGAAGGCCUUCGGGUUGUAAACCGCUUUUGUCAGGGAAGAAACGCUCUGGGCUAAUACCCUGGGGUAAUGACGGUACCUGAAGAAUAAGCACCGGCUAACUACGUGCCAGCAGCCGCGGUAAUACGUAGGGUGCAAGCGUUAAUCGGAAUUACUGGGCGUAAAGCGUGCGCAGGCGGUUAUGCAAGACAGAUGUGAAAUCCCCGGGCUCAACCUGGGAACUGCAUUUGUGACUGUAUAGCUAGAGUACGGUAGAGCGGGCUGGCAAGGCGCAU
rnacentral:rRNA from 1 species